GAAAAACGGUCGUCUGCUGUAGUACAUUUUUAAAGUGACAAGUAAUGUUGAACUGUUAACUGACUAUAUCACAAAGAAUGAUUUAAAAAUAUGAUUAAUAGUAAAAACAUAAUGAACAUGUUCAGUGUAUAAAUUUAUCACUUGUUUACUAUUUAAAAUCAAUAGUAUUGACAAGUCAAAAAAAAUUUGAUGAAAAAUCAGGAUUGCAAGGCAAAAGGAAUGACUUCAAAUGGGAAAGGGAAGUCUUCGGUUGAUAGUAGGAUUAUGGUAUUAGGUCGGAGCGCUGUUGGUAAAUCAGGUAUGAUUUCAUAUUUCUUUAUCUUUACAUUUUAGAGACAUCUUUGUACAUAAUUUUGUUAUCUAAAUACAAUUUAAAAUUAAAAAAAGACUGGAUUAUUGUUUUUGUUUCGUCGCACUAUUUUGAUUUUUAUCGGUCAUGAUCCAAAUCUUUGAAAAACUAUAUUCCUGUUUUCCAUGUUUAUAAUAAGACUGUGUUAACAGUAUCUGUUGUCAUUAAGUUGUUGUAGUUUAGCCUGAUAUAGACUAAGCAGCGGAAAUAGAAACAAAAUUAAGCUUACUUAUAAAACUCGGUAAAACUGUCUAACGAUUGAGCAGGACAUUACUUUAAUAUCUAAGCGAUAAUUGAGGAAAACUUUCAGAGAGACAAUAUCAGGAAACGCUUCAUGUGUUGUCAUACCUUACAAUGAAACUAACAUAGUUAGUACACUAAUUUGAACAAAGCUAGGCGUUUGUAUAUUCAGAGUUCAAAGUAUGUGCAAUAUUGCUUUAAAAAAAAAAAGAAAAAAAAAAGUGAAAGAUGUAAUUAACUGGCUUUGAAAAUUUCUGAAAUACCUAACUAAAGAUAUUCGCAUCCUUGGUCAUUUUUCUCUCGACCACUUCUUUUGAUUUUUCUUCAUUAGUACAUAAUUGACAGGUAAUCAUUUGAGAAAUGUAUUUUCUCAUGUUCUAAAAGUGAGUCAAGGAGAACAUGUGCAACCUAUUAUAUCUUAAUUACACCGAAAUGGUUGUAAAACAAUUCAACAAGC
rnacentral:lncRNA from 1 species